rnacentral:rRNA from 1 species
UACGUAGGGCGCAAGCGUUUGUCCGGAAUUAUUGGGCGUAAAGAGCUCGUAGGCGGUUUGUCGCGUCUGCUGUGAAAACCUGAGGCUCAACCUCGGGCUUGCAGUGGGUACGGGCAGACUAGAGUGCGGUAGGGGUGACUGGAAUUCCUGGUGUAGCGGUGGAAUGCGCAGAUAUCGAGGAGGAACACCGAUGGCGAAGGCAGGUCACUGGGCCGCAACUGACGCUGAGGAGCGAAAGCAUGGGGAGCGAACAGG